AUGGCUGUCGUCAGCUCGUGUCGUGAGAUGUUGGGUUAAGUCCCGCAACGAGCGCAACCCUUGCCUUUAGUUGCCAGCAGUUCGGCUGGGCACUCUAAAGGGACUGCCGGUGUUAAACCGGAGGAAGGUGGGGAUGACGUCAAGUCCUCAUGGCCUUUAUGACCAGGGCUACACACAUACUACAAUGGCCGAUACAAAGGGCAGCGACACUGCGAGGUGAAGCCAAUCCCGUAAAAUCGGUCUCAGUCCGGAUUGGAGUCUGCAACUCGACUCCAUGAAGUUGGAAUCGCUAGUAAUCGUGGAUCAGCAUGCCACGGUGAAUACGUUCCCGGGCCUU
rnacentral:rRNA from 1 species